UACAGAGGGUGCGAGCGUUAAUCGGAAUUACUGGGCGUAAAGGGCGCGUAGGCGGCCUUCUAAGUCAGACGUGAAAUCCCCCGGCUUAACCUGGGAACUGCGUCUGAUACUGGGAGGCUAGAGUGCGGGAGAGGGAUGCGGAAUUCCAGGUGUAGCGGUGAAAUGCGUAGAUAUCUGGAGGAACACCGGUGGCGAAGGCGGCAUCCUGGACCGACACUGACGCUGAGGCGCGAAAGCUAGGGUAGCAAACGGG
rnacentral:rRNA from 1 species